rnacentral:rRNA from 1 species
GUGCUUACACAUGCAGUCGAACGGAGAUUAGCGAGGAGUUUACUUUUUGCUAAUUUUAGUGGCGGACGGGCGAGUAACGCGUGGAUAACCUGCCUGAUAGCCUGGGAUAACGCCGGGAAACUGGUGCUAAUACCGGAUACGCUCCUUGGGAUGCAUAUUCUGGGGAGGAAAGGAGAAAUCCGCUGACAGAUGGGUCCGCGUCCCAUUAGCUAGUUGGAGGGGUAACGGCCCACCAAGGCGACGAUGGGUAGCCGGCCUGAGAGGGCGACCGGCCACACUGGAACUGAGACACGGUCCAGACUCCUACGGGAGGCAGCAGUGGGGAAUCUUCCGCAAUGGGCGCAAGCCUGACGGAGCAACGCCGCGUGAGUGAUGAAGGUUUUCGGAUUGUAAAACUCUGUCCAGGGGGAAGAAGAAAAUGACGGUACCCCUGGAGGAAGCCCCGGCUAACUACGUGCCAGCAGCCGCGGUAAAACGUAGGGGGCGAGCGUUGUCCGGAAUUACUGGGCGUAAAGGGCGUGUAGGCGGCAUAGUAAGUCCGUAGUGAAACCCGACAGCUCAACUGUCGGCUGGCUAAGGAAACUGCUAAGCUUGAGUGCAGAAGAGGGGAGUGGAAUUCCCAGUGUAGCGGUGAAAUGCGUAGAUAUUGGGAGGAACACCAGUGGCGAAAGCGGCUCCCUGGCCUGUAACUGACGCUGAGGCGCGAAAGCGUGGGUAGCAAACAGGAUUAGAUACCCUGGUAGUCCACGCCGUAAACGAUGGGUGCUAGGUGUUGUGGGUAUCGACCCCUACAGUGCCGCAGUUAACGCAAUAAGCACCCCGCCUGGGGAGUACGGCCGCAAGGCUGAAACUCAAAGGAAUUGACGGGGGCCCGCACAAGCCGUGGAGUAUGUGGUUUAAUUCGACGCCACCGCGAAAAACUUACCAGGUCUUGACAUCCUCCUGCCA